CCUUGAAAUUGUAGCACAUUUUGGCAAUGAGUUAUUGGUAUUUUCUUUCAGCUGAAGGAACCACAUAUAGUCUGGACCAUAAAGAUUCUGCCAGAGGUAAAAAUACAUACAAGGAGGUACCUUUGUUGGAUUUUCAAUAAAUUCACUUAAUUUUCAAAAGAAUGUUCUCCAGUGACACCUUUUUUAAAAGGGAUUGACCAAGCACAACACCUAGCACAACGUGUCCUGGUCCAUAAUUAGCAGUCCUAGCGCUACAGUAAUACAAACAACAAAUGGGUCAAAUGACUUUAUAUUGAUUUGGGAUGAGCUACUAAACCAGGACAACACCAUCAAGGAGUGUGAUGAGACUUUACAUAAAGAUUCUAUUCAAAGUUCAAAAGUGGUGAUGGAAAGAGUAUGGAGUCAUGCAAAUUUGGCCAAAGGAUCACACUGCAAAUGGGCCCAUGGAAAGUAACUGGUGGUAGAGAGUUAUUGACUUCAGCUAAGGAAGCAGGUAUUCAGCAUAUGGUUCAACAUGUCUUACAAAAACUGCUAUGGCAUGAGAUGUUUUGCACGAAGAUACUGGAAUUUUCCAGGCAAAGUUGCAAGAAGCCAUAAAGGAGACACCCUAUUUUCUCACUGGAUGCUGAGAAAGGACACCUCAGAUUCUGGCUGGACAUUUCAAAUCUUUAUCAGAACCAUGGGUCAGUUUCUGAUUGGUUCACAUCAGCUUUGCCAAAAAGAGGAUCCAGGCUAUGCCAUCCAGCAGAAAAAUGUACAAAAUACUGGGUUCAAUACAUCGUGCCCUGAAGCCAAAACAUCUGGAUGAGAGAGAUUGAACAGAUAUGUUAUUGUCUGGCCAGUGAGAGUGACCCUUCUGUUAACAACUAGUCUUGUUAUUGUCUAGAAGUUAUGCUAAAUCAAAAGUAACUGAGCGUUGAAGCAGGGGAAACUCAUUACACUAAUUAAAUCUAAUACUAUUUAGAAAAGAAAGUAGCAAGAGCUACUGCAAGAAACCUUGAGUCUUUCAGAGCUCUGUGGGAUUUUUAGGUUGAUUUUGGUCAAAAGAACUAACAGCUUCUUAGACAAAGAGGGAAAGGAGCUUUAAAUUGGCUUGCAAGCUAGAUAUUUAUCACUAUUUGAAUCUUUGGGGUAAAUUGGUAUAAGAGCUUGCAGUAUGGGAUAUGUUCUAGAGAAUUUUGAUGCUAUUCUACUUUACUACCUCCAUAUUUUGUUUUUGUUUAAUGUGUGAUAGUCUUGUACAAGUGACAAAGCUUGGCUGCGAGUAUUCAUUUGUCAAGGUAAUUUUGAACUGAAUUAACAUUCUUUGAUAAUUAAGUACCUUGUUUAAAGUUCUAGAUUCUACCGUAGAACUGUUUGGUUGAACUGACAUGAGCAGUGCCACCAUUCCACUGGCAGAUAAACUUGAUUGGAAUUAAGAAAGGAUCCAUAGUUCCAUGUUAGUACCAACAAAUCACCUGCCCAAACUGGUACUGAAGUAACACAGAAGUUUGCCUUUGUAAGAAGAUUGUGGUAAGAUGCUGAAUGAAUUAAACUGAUUUAUUAUCUCUGAAAAGAUGUAACAUCCCAUGUUGAGUUCAGAUUUUGACACUAAACUAUUAUCUAACCAUUCUUAAACUGUAGGUAAUUUUUUGUUUGCUUUAAAAGCUAUUUUGUCUAAUCAAAUAAAAAUAAUAAUGAUCCUGCCUAUAAUUUACUUAAGCUAAAAA